AGAGUUUGAUCAUGGCUCAGAUUGAACGCUGGCGGCAGGCCUAACACAUGCAAGUCGAACGGUAACAGRAAGMAGCUUGCUKYUUYGCUGACGAGUGGCGGACGGGUGAGUAAUGUCUGGGAAACUGCCUGAUGGAGGGGGAUAACUACUGGAAACGGUAGCUAAUACCGCAUAACGUCGCAAGACCAAAGAGGGGGACCUUCGGGCCUCUUGCCAUCGGAUGUGCCCAGAUGGGAUUAGCUWGUWGGUGGGGUAACGGCUCACCWAGGCGACGAUCCCUAGCUGGUCUGAGAGGAUGACCAGCCACACUGGAACUGAGACACGGUCCAGACUCCUACGGGAGGCAGCAGUGGGGAAUAUUGCACAAUGGGCGCAAGCCUGAUGCAGCCAUGCCGCGUGUAUGAAGAAGGCCUUCGGGUUGUAAAGUACUUUCAGCGGGGAGGAAGGGAGUAAAGUUAAUACCUUUGCUCAUUGACGUUACCCGCAGAAGAAGCACCGGCUAACUCCGUGCCAGCAGCCGCGGUAAUACGGAGGGUGCAAGCGUUAAUCGGAAUUACUGGGCGUAAAGCGCACGCAGGCGGUUUGUUAAGUCAGAUGUGAAAUCCCCGGGCUCAACCUGGGAACUGCAUCUGAUACUGGCAAGCUUGAGUCUCGUAGAGGGGGGUAGAAUUCCAGGUGUAGCGGUGAAAUGCGUAGAGAUCUGGAGGAAUACCGGUGGCGAAGGCGGCCCCCUGGACGAAGACUGACGCUCAGGUGCGAAAGCGUGGGGAGCAAACAGGAUUAGAUACCCUGGUAGUCCACGCCGUAAACGAUGUCGACUUGGAGGUUGUGCCCUUGAGGCGUGGCUUCCGGAGCUAACGCGUUAAGUCGACCGCCUGGGGAGUACGGCCGCAAGGUUAAAACUCAAAUGAAUUGACGGGGGCCCGCACAAGCGGUGGAGCAUGUGGUUUAAUUCGAUGCAACGCGAAGAACCUUACCUGGUCUUGACAUCCACRGAASUUUYCAGAGAUGGAUUGGUGCCUUCGGGAACYGUGAGACAGGUGCUGCAUGGCUGUCGUCAGCUCGUGUUGUGAAAUGUUGGGUUAAGUCCCGCAACGAGCGCAACCCUUAUCCUUUGUUGCCAGCGGUCCGGCCGGGAACUCAAAGGAGACUGCCAGUGAUAAACUGGAGGAAGGUGRGGAUGACGUCAAGUCAUCAUGGCCCUUACGACCAGGGCUACACACGUGCUACAAUGGCGCAUACAAAGAGAAGCGACCUCGCGAGAGCAAGCGGACCUCAUAAAGUGCGUCGUAGUCCGGAUUGGAGUCUGCAACUCGACUCCAUGAAGUCGGAAUCGCUAGUAAUCGUGGAUCAGAAUGCCACGGUGAAUACGUUCCCGGGCCUUGUACACACCGCCCGUCACACCAUGGGAGUGGGUUGCAAAAGAAGUAGGUAGCUUAACCUUCGGGAGGGCGCUUACCACUUUGUGAUUCAUGACUGGGGUGAAGUCGUAACAAGGUAACCGUAGGGGAACCUGCGGUUG
rnacentral:rRNA from 1 species